UGAGGAAUAUUGGGCAAUGCCCGCAAGGGUGACCCAGCAACGCCGCGUGGAGGAUGAAUGUCGUAAGAUUGUAAACUCCUGUUAGAGGGGAAGAAUAGUACCGGUUGGACCGGUAUAUGACUGUACCCUCAGAGAAAGCCCCGGCUAACUAAGUGCCAGCAGCCGCGGUAAUACGUAGGGGGCAAGCGUUGUCCGGAUUUACUGGGUGCAAAGGGCGCGCAGGCGGGAUAAAAAGUCAGUGGUGAAAUCCUAGAGCUUAACUGUAGAACUGCUUUUGAUACUUUUAUUCUUGAGUUCGGGAGAGAGAGACUGAAUUCCAGGUGUAGUGGUGAAAUACGUAGAUAUCUGGAAGAACACCAGUUGCGAAGGCGGUCUCUUGGUCCGACACUGACGCUGAGGCGCGAAAGCGUGGGGAG
rnacentral:rRNA from 1 species